rnacentral:rRNA from 1 species
AGAGUUUGAUCCUGGCUCAGGACGAACGCUGGCGGUAUGCUUAAGACAUGCAAGUCGCACGGACCCGCAAGGGUCAGUGGCGGACGGGUGAGUAACACGUGGAUAACCUGCCCGAUUCCCCGGGAUAACAGGCCGAAAGGCCUGCUAAUACCGGGUAAGCUCACGGUGCCGCAUGGCACUGGGAGAAAAGCUCCUGCAAGGGAGUGGGAUUGAAGGGGUCCGCGGUCCAUUAGCUAGUUGGGGGGGUAACGGCCCACCAAGGCGACGAUGGAUAGCCGGCCUGAGAGGGCGAACGGCCACACUGGGACUGAGACACGGCCCAGACUCCUACGGGAGGCAGCAGUCGGGAAUUUUGGGCAAUGGCCGCAAGGGCUGACCCAGCAAUACCGCGUGAGUGAAGAAGGCCUUCGGGUUGUAAAGCUCUGUUGCCCGUGAAGAACGGUACUGUGAGGAAAUGCGCAGUACUUGACGGUAGCGGGAGAGGAAGCUCCGGCUAACUACGUGCCAGCAGCCGCGGUAAUACGUAGGGAGCGAGCGUUGUCCGGAUUUAUUGGGCGUAAAGGGCGUGUAGGCGGCUUGUUAAGUCUGAGGUGAAAAUCCAGGGCUCAACCCUGGAACUGCCUCGGAUACUGGCGAGCUUGAGUGCUCUAGAGGGCAGUGGAAUUCCGGGUGUAGCAGUGAAAUGCGUAGAGAUCCGGAGGAACACCAGAGGCGAAGGCGACUGCCUGGGGAGUAACUGACGCUGAGGCGCGAAAGCUGGGGGAGCAAACGGGAUUAGAUACCCCGGUAGUCCCAGCCGUAAACGAUGAGUGCUAGGUGUAGGGGGUAUCGACCCCCCCUGUGCCGCAGUUAACGCAAUAAGCACUCCGCCUGGGGGAGUACGGCCGCAAGGUUGAAACUCAAAGGAAUUGACGG